UCCGGAGUCUCUCGAACACUACUCACCCAUCUGACGCGCAAUGAAACUCAACCGCUUCCUGAAACACCGAGGCACAUGAUCCGCUACCACAUGCAACGAGAGCCUCUGCACAUGCUCGCGUCAAAUUACAUACAUGUGUAAGUGCGUUGAAUGAAAACUGAGUUUAUCUUCGAACGAACUCCGCUCGGCGAGAAAAAAAAGGCGUUAUCGUGUCACGUGUCUGGUCAGCAUCCCUAUCAGUUAUUUCAAUGUCCCAGUGUCUCGUGGUGGAACGUCACGACGAGGGAAAUUGCAUAAGGGGGGAAAUUGCAUAUUUCUCACCGGUUGGAUGAAAAUUCUGGUGCGGUGCUUCUCGGGCUCUGGUUUGAGCCCCACGACCCCAUCGAGUAGGCUUGGAUCAGCGUCCAAGAAGUGGGGCAGUGAGACGGCUGCGGGGAUAUCUGAGAAUUGGGAGAAUAUGAACGAGUUAAUGGGAGUAAUUUCCAUGAAUGAAUCUACCACCUGUGUCCCACAUUCAUGACUACCUUGGCUCACAUUCAGUUUCCAAUAAAUUCCUGAUGGACACGCGAUCGUGAAGGAUCGAAGAAAAAAGGAUUGAAGACAUGGCUGAUGAGACAAUGAUUGCAGUUGUUGUCAUCGCGUGGUAAAUGCUUGGAAAUCAUCGAUGGGUUCAGUGAUGCUUCAGGGAGUGAGAAUGUUCAGAUGCAGGGAGAUGGUGGUGAUGGAUUGUUGGACGAGGGAAGCGAUGACCGGCCUUGGUAAUUAGGAGGUUGGUGAGAGGAUAGGUGAGAGAUGGGAUUUUUUCGGGGAUUAGCCAAUUAAUUUAAUUGGUCGGCUGAUUGAUCUUUCAUCGGGGGAGGUCAAUGUCGAAGGUUGAAAAU